GAUGAACGCUGGCGGCGUGCCUAAUACAUGCAAGUCGAGCGAACAGACGAGGAGCUUGCUCCUCUGACGUUAGCGGCGGACGGGUGAGUAACACGUGGAUAACCUACCUAUAAGACUGGGAUAACUUCGGGAAACCGGAGCUAAUACCGGAUAACAUGUUGAACCGCAUGGUUCAACAGUGAAAGACGGUUUUGCUGUCACUUAUAGAUGGAUCCGCGUCGCAUUAGCUAGUUGGUAAGGUAACGGCUUACCAAGGCAACGAUGCGUAGCCGACCUGAGAGGGUGAUCGGCCACACUGGAACUGAGACACGGUCCAGACUCCUACGGGAGGCAGCAGUAGGGAAUCUUCCGCAAUGGGCGAAAGCCUGACGGAGCAACGCCGCGUGAGUGAAGAAGGUCUUCGGAUCGUAAAACUCUGUUAUUAGGGAAGAACAGAUGUGUAAGUAACUAUGCACGUCUUGACGGUACCUAAUCAGAAAGCCACGGCUAACUACGUG
rnacentral:rRNA from 1 species